rnacentral:rRNA from 1 species
ACGGGUGAGUAACACGUGGGUAACCUGCCUGUAAGACUGGGAUAACUCCGGGAAACCGGAGCUAAUACCGGAUAGUUCCUUGAACCGCAUGGUUCAAGGAUGAAAGACGGUUUCGGCUGUCACUUACAGAUGGACCCGCGGCGCAUUAGCUAGUUGGUGAGGUAACGGCUCACCAAGGCGACGAUGCGUAGCCGACCUGAGAGGGUGAUCGGCCACACUGGGACUGAGACACGGCCCAGACUCCUACGGGAGGCAGCAGUAGGGAAUCUUCCGCAAUGGACGAAAGUCUGACGGAGCAACGCCGCGUGAGUGAUGAAGGUUUUCGGAUCGUAAAGCUCUGUUGUUAGGGAAGAACAAGUGCAAGAGUAACUGCUUGCACCUUGACGGUACCUAACCAGAAAGCCACGGCUAACUACGUGCCAGCAGCCGCGGUAAUACGUAGGUGGCAAGCGUUGUCCGGAAUUAUUGGGCGUAAAGGGCUCGCAGGCGGUUUCUUAAGUCUGAUGUGAAAGCCCCCGGCUCAACCGGGGAGGGUCAUUGGAAACUGGGAAACUUGAGUGCAGAAGAGGAGAGUGGAAUUC